ensembl:snRNA
CUUUUGUAUGAAAGUUAAGAAAGUUAGCACGCUCCUUGACAAGAGUAGAAGAGGCCCUUAGGCCUCACAACAUGUUGACCGUUAAGGCAUUGCCACCUCCUUCAUGGCUUUUCCCACUUCUGGUU